rnacentral:ncRNA from 1 species
GGCACGGAGUUGUGGUGACGAGUAUUUGGGUCGCCGUGGUGAGCAGGAAGCUUCGGGCGUGAACCUGAGUGGAGCCACCACGGGUGCAGAUCUUGGUGGUAGUAGCAAAUAUUCAAGUGAGAACCUUGAAGGCCGAGGUGGAGAAGGGUCCCAUGAAAAAACAGUUGGCAAUGGGUCAGGCGGUCCUAAGUUAUCCGUCAACUCGGAACAGAGACGGGGUGUCAUCCUGGCCGUCUUGAACCGCCUCAUAGCCUCCUGGCGGUCGUCCGGCGUGUCGGGCUCCGCAGCGAAGGCGUUCUUCUUUUCAUCAAUCCGCAUUCAGAACACAGUCCCAAUCACAUAACCUCAGUGAGUGAAUCUGGACCUAAAGUUGUUGGCAUUUACGCUGCGACGCCUAAUACGAUCCAUUGUGGUUGGGCAUAAGACGCUCACAUGCAGAAUAGCUGUUUAAAAAUUCCGUUGAUGCGUACAGUCAUGUGAUUUAAUAGUACACAAUCUGCCUAAUUUCCGGCUAUGCAAGUACGCGUCAGCAGAUCGCGGCUCCGAUGGGACGAUUAUCAUCAUCAUCAUCGUCAGCUGUAAGAACCGCGUACUCAUCGUACACUAGUUGUAUCUGCCGCAGUUUCGUUCACCGAGGAUUUGGGGGGGGGUAGGUAGCUGCGCAUUGCACGCGCAAGCUGGUGAAUUGGUGUAUAAAUCCAGCACUGUCAGUGGGCUGUCAAGUG